GGGGCAGGGUGAGUCGACCCCUAAGGCGAGGCCGAAAGGCGUAGUCGAUGGGAAACGGGUUAAUAUUCCCGUACUUGGUGUUACUGCGAAGGGGGGACGGAGAAGGCUAUGUUGGCCGGGCGACGGUUGUCCCGGUUUAAGCGUGUAGGUGUGUGUUCCAGGUAAAUCCGGUUCACUUUAACACUGAGGCGUGAUGACGAGGCACUACGGUGCUGAAGCAACAAAUGCCCUGCUUCCAGGAAAAGCCUCUAAGCAUCAGGUAACACGAAAUCGUACCCCAAACCGACACAGGUGGUCAGGUAGAGAAUACCAAGGCGCUUGAGAGAACUCGGGUGAAGGAACUAGGCAAAAUGGUGCCGUAACUUCGGGAGAAGGCACGCUGACACGUAGGUGAAGUGAUUUACUCAUGGAGCUGAAGUCAGUCGAAGAUACCAGCUGGCUGCAACUGUUUAUUAAAAACACAGCACUGUGCAAACACGAAAGUGGACGUAUACGGUGUGACGCCUGCCCGGUGCCGGAAGGUUAAUUGAUGGGGUCAGCGCAAGCGAAGCUCCUGAUCGAAGCCCCGGUAAACGGCGGCCGUAACUAUAACGGUCCUAAGGUAGCGAAAUUCCUUGUCGGGUAAGUUCCGACCUGCACGAAUGGCGUAAUGAUGGCCAGGCUGUCUCCACCCGAGACUCAGUGAAAUUGAACUCGCUGUGAAGAUGCAGUGUACCCGCGGCAAGACGGAAAGACCCCGUGAACCUUUACUAUAGCUUGACACUGAACAUUGAGCCUUGAUGUGUAGGAUAGGUGGGAGGCUUUGAAGUGUGGACGCCAGUCUGCAUGGAGCCGACCUUGAAAUACCACCCUUUAAUGUUUGAUGUUCUAACGUGGACCCGUUACCCGGGUUGCGGACAGUGUCUGGUGGGUAGUUUGACUGGGGCGGUCUCCUCCUAAAGAGUAACGGAGGAGCACGAAGGUUGGCUAAUCCUGGUCGGACAUCAGGAGGUUAGUGCAAUGGCAUAAGCCAGCUUGACUGCGAGCGUGACGGCGCGAGCAGGUGCGAAAGCAGGUCAUAGUGAUCCGGUGGUUCUGAAUGGAAGGGCCAUCGCUCAACGGAUAAAAGGUACUCCGGGGAUAACAGGCUGAUACCGCCCAAGAGUUCAUAUCGACGGCGGUGUUUGGCACCUCGAUGUCGGCUCAUCACAUCCUGGGGCUGAAGUAGGUCCCAAGGGUAUGGCUGUUCGCCAUUUAAAGUGGUACGCGAGCUGGGUUUAGAACGUCGUGAGACAGUUCGGUCCCUAUCUGCCGUGGGCGCUGGAGAACUGAGGGGGGCUGCUCCUAGUACGAGAGGACCGGAGUGGACGCAUCACUGGUGUUCGGGUUGUCAUGCCAAUGGCACUGCCCGGUAGCUAAAUGCGGAAGAGAUAAGUGCUGAAAGCAUCUAAGCACGAAACUUGCCCCGA
rnacentral:rRNA from 2 species